GUCGGUUGGUGAUGCAUGGGGGUGGCUUUGGAUGCCACGUGCACCCCCCAUGCAUCCUUAUCUUGUGGCCUACAGAGGGAUAGUGGUGAUUUGUAAUUUCCCUCUCUCUCUAGUUGGAAGUGGAGAGCUCGUGGAGGCUAUAGUUGGAGAUUGGAGCGACGUCAACUUCGCGCCUGCGAGCCGUUGGAGCGUGCGUGCGUCGUGGUAGUGCCGUUGGAGGCCGGGCGAGGGUGCAUUUUCGUCGUUCUCGACGUCGCGCCGGUGCUUGGGUCGCUGUCGAGGUGGGUUACAUCGGUUUUUACUCCUAAGUUCAUAUUCGUCGGCAUGUAUAAUUUUCGACCUUUGGAUACUCUAUUCUAGCUCGAAUUCAUGGAUUAUAUUGUAGAUUGCAAAUCUGAAUUUGGAGCAUGUGGUAAUAAAUUAAGUAGGUUAUACAUGUUGGACUUGGAAAUUGAAUUAGGAGAAAACCUGCGAUUUGGACCUGUCACUUGUUUAAACUGCCUGAUUUAGCUCUAGGAGCCGUUAUUAAAUUGUACUGUCGCAGUAUCUUCGAGACGAGUACUCCAGGUAGUUUAGAAUAUAUCUACACUCGUGCUGGUUCGCCGAGGGGAUUUUACAGGGUCGUUCAGGCUGUUCCGGACUGUAGGGUGCCGUUGAGGUUGACGGUGGACCCGUAUCGCCUUUUUGGCGUCUGAUUGUGCCGAGGGCACGUUACUUGUUGGUUGUUAGACCAGUUAGAGUCGAUUUCUUGACUUUGGCUUUUCAGAGCCUGUUUGAGCUCGACAGAGAUACGCUGCAUACUCGGUUGGGUAGCGCCCACGAGUGCCACUCCGGAGUCAGGCUUUGUGCUUUCGCGUUGGUGUCGCUCAUGCCAGUUGGACUUGCUCUCCACGGACCAGUUAGUGUGGAUAGAGCCUGAUAGUCGCAACGGGGCAGGGACGGGUGUAUUCACAGUCCCGGGGACGGGUAUGCUUACAGUCCCGAUUGGAUUGAGUCAGAUUUGACAUUUACUACAGUUGGUUAGUGUAGAGCAUGAUAGUGUAGUGAUCGAUAGCGGUAGAGUUUACUUCCUGCUUUUCUGACUACUCUUGCUCCCUUCUGUAGACUUAGUGGGUGGACCGAUGUGGUUUUGGGCGGUACCCACUGAGGACUACUUGUUUUUACAGUAGUUCUCACGCCCAGUUGUUACCUCUAUUUUGUAGAGCCACAGGUUCCGGCUGCUGCGCCUUCCGCGGAUCAGGAUCGAGGCAAGGGCGUCACGAGUUAGAGCCCUACCCGUCGUACUGAGCUAGAGGUGCCCCUACUGCAAGUAGAUGUUUUGUUUCGAGUUUCUGUACAUAGUA
rnacentral:lncRNA from 1 species